CACUCCCUUCCACUUUUUAUAAACCAAUUUGCAAGCAACUUCCACUACUAUAGUAAUAAUUAAACAUAAUAAUUUAAGCCUAUUGCUUCAAUUAUAUUUUGGCACAAUAGUACAGUAAACUACAUCUAGGCCUAUUGCUUUCUCUCUCUCGUUGGUAUAGUUUGGUAGCUAAAUUUCAAAAUAAUAUUUUUUGGUUUUUAUUUUUUCAUUCUUUUCUUGCAAUUCUUGUAUACAAAGCUCCAACCUUUACAAUUGUCUCCACCAAUGUAAAAUUUCGGUUUUUGAGAAAAUUAGUUUUGAUCAAUCAGGUGAUUCGCACUUCAUUUGUUGAUUUUUGUCUUUAAUUUGUGUUUGUUUAUUUGAGUACUGAUUGUGAGGAUUGAAUUGAAAGUUGAGGUUUGAUUUUUUUUCAAGGUAUGUGAAGUUAGGUUGUAAUUUGUUUGAUUUGUGGUUUUUUUUUUUUUUUAAUUUAAUUGUGAAUUUUAGAUUUUCAACUUCAAGAAGGAAAAUCAGUAAUAGUUUUAAAUGGACAAACCACAAAACCCCCCACCAAACCCAUCUCCAUUGCGAAGUGCCCAAGUUUUCCAGGUAUAUUAGAGAGAGAGCUUGAGAAUAGUAAGCAUUAUAUCUUUCACAUUCAGAGAGGUGGUAGCUGAUGUAGAAUACAAGGGAAUUAAACAACGGAGGGGUACCUUAGUCCUGAAGGCUGGAAGGUUAUGCCUUUAUUGGGGAAUAUUCAUCACAAUCUAGAAUUCUUUAGAAACCCUCAAAAGUUAAAUCUAUCAAGAUUCGAGGUAUGGUCAAGAUUAGUAUUGAGAUUUUCCUCUAUUUAGUUUUUUUUUCCCUAAAUUUUUUUCUUGGUGCCAAAGCCCUAUACAUUUAUGCCAUUUAGCAGUGGGGUACACGACUGUCCGGGGGAAUGAGCUUGCAAAGCUGGAGAUGCACAUACUGAUUCUACAUCCCCUUGCGAUGUUCAAAGGCUAAAUUCUGUCUCUGAUCAGUUUUGUUCUUUGAUGAAUGCAAUUCUAUUUCGUUUCUUCUUGUUCAUACUUUAUGGGAAUAAUAGAUAUUAAUUUUAGUUUUUUGACUCUUGGUUGUUGAUUUUAUGUUAAAGUUGUUGACGAACAUAAAUAAAUAAUUUAUUUUAUAAG